UACCCGAAUGAAAGUUCUCGCAAACAGAGAAUGAAAACCAAAGAGAAAACCCGCCAAGCCCUGGCCCCUCUCUGCUACAGAACAGCAAUAAGAGAACAAGAAGAACCAAAACCAUGUCUUUCUAUUUGUGGCUGGGUCAUUUUCAUGAUAAAACCACCCAGAAAAUGAUCUCAAAA